CCUACGGGGGGCUGCAGUGGGGAAUAUUGCACAAUGGGCGCAAGCCUGAUGCAGCCAUGCCGCGUGUGUGAAGAAGGCCUUCGGGUUGUAAAGCACUUUCAGCGGGGAGGAAGGCGGUGAGGUUAAUAACCUCAUCGAUUGACGUUACCCGAAGAAGAAGCACCGGCUAACUCCGUGCCAGCAGCCGCGGUAAUACGGAGGGUGCAAGCGUUAAUCGGAAUUACUGGGCGUAAAGCGCACGCAGGCGGUCUGUCAAGUCGGAUGUGGAAUCCCCGGGCUCAACCUGGGAACUGCAUUCGAAACUGGCAGGCUAGAGUCUUGUAGAGGGGGGUAGAAUUCCAGGUGUAGCGGUGAAAUGCGUAGAGAUCUGGAGGAAUACCGGUGGCGAAGGCGGCCCCCUGGACAAAGACUGACGCUCAGGUGCGAAAGCGUGGGGAGCAAACAGGAUUAGAUACCCGAGUAGUC
rnacentral:rRNA from 1 species